GGGUUGUGAGGUUAAGCGACUAAGCGUACACGGUGGAUGCCCUGGCAGUCAGAGGCGAUGAAGGACGUGCUAAUCUGCGAUAAGCGCCGGUAAGGUGAUAUGAACCGUUAUAACCGGCGAUUUCCGAAUGGGGAAACCCAGUGUGAUUCGUCACACUAUCAUUAACUGAAUCCAUAGGUUAAUGAGGCGAACCGGGGGAACUGAAACAUCUAAGUACCCCGAGGAAAAGAAAUCAACCGAGAUUCCCCCAGUAGCGGCGAGCGAACGGGGAGGAGCCCAGAGCCUGAAUCAGCAUGUGUGUUAGUGGAAGCGUCUGGAAAGGCGCGCGAUACAGGGUGACAGCCCCGUACACAAAAGCGCAUGUGCUGUGAGCUCGAUGAGUAGGGCGGGACACGUGGUAUCCUGUCUGAAUAUGGGGGGACCAUCCUCCAAGGCUAAAUACUCCUGACUGACCGAUAGUGAACCAGUACCGUGAGGGAAAGGCGAAAAGAACCCCGGCGAGGGGAGUGAAAAAGAACCUGAAACCGUGUACGUACAAGCAGUGGGAGCACAGGUUUACC
rnacentral:rRNA from 5 species